UUGGCUUAGAAGCAGCCACUCAUUUAAAGAGUGCGUAAUAGCUCACUGGUCGAGUAUCGGUGCGCCGAAGAUUAUCGGGGCUAAAACUUGUCACCGAAGUUUAGGGAUAUGCGAUUGCAUAUCGGUAGAGGAGCAAUGUGUACGGGCAGAAGCUGUAUCGAAAGGGGCAGUGGACUGUACACAAGAGAGAAUGCCGGCAUAAGUAGCGAGAGCAAAGUGAGAAACUUUGCCGUCGAAAGCCUUAGGUUUCCUGGGGAAGGUUCGUCCUCCCAGGGUAAGUCGGGACCUAAGCCGAGGCCGAAAGGCGUAGGUGAUGGACAACAGGUAGAUAUUCCUGUACCACCGACAGUCGUCUAAAUGAAGCAAUGACACAGAAGGAUAGUCAAACCGCGUUGAUGGAUAUAUGCGGCCAAAUCAUUAGGCUUAUGUGUAGUGAAGUACGCACAUAGUUAAGGCUGAGUGAUGAUGGGGAGUGAAAACUAGUAAUGAAGUUGAUGAUUCCACGCUGGCGAGAAAAGUUGCUAAAUAUGACUGAAGGUGCCCGUACCGCAAACCGACACAGGUAGGUGAGGAGAAAAUCCUAAGACGAGCGGGAUAACCCAUGUUAAGGAACUCUGCAAAAUCACCCCGUAACUUAGGGAGAAGGGGUACCACGCAAGUGGUCGCAGUGAAGAGGCCCAAGCGACUGUUUACCAAAAACACAGGUCUCUGCUAAAUCGUAAGAUGAAGUAUAGGGGCUGACGCCUGCCCAGUGCUGGAAGGUUAAGGGGAUGUGUUAGCGCAAGCGAAGCACGGAACUUAAGCCCCAGUGAACGGCGGCCGUAACUAUAACGGUCCUAAGGUAGCGAAAUUCCUUGUCAGGUAAGUUCUGACCCGCACGAAUGGCGUAACGAUUUGGGCGCUGUCUCAACAUGGGACCCGGCGAAAUUGUAGUAUACGUGAAGAUGCGUAUUACCCGCGACUGGACGGAAAGACCCCGUAGAGCUUUACUGUAGUCUGAUAUUGGAUUUCGGUGAUUUAUGUACAGGAUAGGUGGGAGACUUUGAAGCAUAGGCGUCAGCUUAUGUGGAGUCAACCUUGGGAUACCACCCUUAAAUUAUUGAGGUUCUAACUUUGUGCCGUAAUCCGGGCAGAGAACAGUGUCAGAUGGGCAGUUUGACUGGGGCGGUCGCCUCCUAAAAUGUAACGGAGGCGUCCAAAGGUUCCCUCAGGAUGGUUGGAAAUCAUCCAAAGAGUAUAAAGGCAGAAGGGAGCUUAACUGCGAGACAGACAUGUCGAGCAGAUACGAAAGUAGGGCUUAGUGAUCCGGCGGUAGAGUAUGGAAUUGCCGUCGCUUAACGGAUAAAAGUUACCUCGGGGAUAACAGGCUUAUCUCCCCCAAGAGUUCACAUCGACGGGGAGGUUUGGCAC
rnacentral:rRNA from 1 species